rnacentral:rRNA from 1 species
UACGAAGGGGGCUAGCGUUGCUCGGAAUCACUGGGCGUAAAGGGUGCGUAGGCGGGUAUUUAAGUCAGGGGUGAAAUCCUGGAGCUCAACUCCAGAACUGCCUUUGAUACUGAGUAUCUUGAGUUCGGGAGAGGUAAGUGGAACUGCGAGUGUAGAGGUGAAAUUCGUAGAUAUUCGCAAGAACACCAGUGGCGAAGGCGGCUUACUGGCCCCGAUACUGACACUGAGGCACGAAAGCGUGGGAGCAAACAGGG